UACGGGGGGGGCAAGCGUUGUUCGGAAUUACUGGGCGUAAAGGGCUCGUAGGUGGCCAACUAAGUCAGACGUGAAAUCCCUCGGCUUAACCGGGGAACUGCGUCUGAUACUGGAUGGCUUGAGUGUGGGAGAGGGAUGCGGAAUUCCAGGUGUAGCGGUGAAAUGCGUAGAUAUCGUAAGGAAGACCAGUGGCGAAGGCGGGUCUCUGGACAGUUCCUGACGCUGAGGCACGAAGGCCAGGGGAGCAAACGGG
rnacentral:rRNA from 1 species